rnacentral:rRNA from 1 species
AACGAACGCUGGCGGCAUGCCUAACACAUGCAAGUCGAACGAGACCUUCGGGUCUAGUGGCGCACGGGUGCGUAACGCGUGGGAACCUGCCCUUAGGUUCGGAAUAACUCCCCGAAAGGGGUGCUAAUACCGGAUAAUGUCUUCGGACCAAAGAUUUAUCGCCUUUGGAUGGGCCCGCGUUGGAUUAGCUAGUUGGUAGGGUAAAAGCCUACCAAGGCGACGAUCCAUAGCUGGUCUGAGAGGAUGAUCAGCCACACUGGGACUGAGACACGGCCCAGACACCCUGGGGGAGCAGGGGGGGGGAAUUGGUGAAAAGGGGGGAAUGCUAGACCACUCAUGCCCGGGUUGGUAAUGAAGGCUGUGGGGUUAUAAGCCCCUUUUACCCGGGUGGAAAAUGACGGUACAGGAGAAAAAAGCCCCGGCUAACCCCGUC